AUUGAACGCUGGCGGCAGGCCUAGCACAUGCAAGUCGAACGGUAACAGGAAACAGCUUGCUGUUUCGCUGACGAGUGGCGGACGGGUGAGUAAUGUCUGGGAAACUGCCUGAUGGAGGGGGAUAACUACUGGAAACGGUAGCUAAUACCGCAUAACGUCGCAAGACCAAAGAGGGGGACCUUCGGGCCUCUUGCCAUCGGAUGUGCCCAGAUGGGAUUAGCUAGUAGGUGGGGUAACGGCUCACCUAGGCGACGAUCCCUAGCUGGUCUGAGAGGAUGACCAGCCACCCUGGAACUGAGACACGGUCCAGACUCCUACGGGAGGCAGCAGUGGGGAAUAUUGCACAAUGGGCGCAAGCCUGAUGCAGCCAUGCCGCGUGUAUGAAGAAGGCCUUCGGGUUGUAAAGUACUUUCAGCGGGGAGGAAGGGAGUAAAGUUAAUACCUUUGUUCAUUGACGUUACCCGCAGAAGAAGCACCGGCUAACUCCGUGCCAGCAGCCGCCGCCG
rnacentral:rRNA from 1 species